rfam:Cricetulus griseus cell line CHO-K1, whole genome shotgun sequence.
GGAGAGAUGGCUCAGUGGUUAAGAGCACUGACUGUUCUUCCAGAUGAUCUGGGUUCAAUUCCCAGCACCC